CUUUAAUGAUGAAUAUAUCCCGAACCUGAUUUCAUGUGACUGAAAGUCAUAUAUUCGGAUCUGACUUCUGAAAU
ensembl:snoRNA small nucleolar RNA SNORD50